AUAAACAAGACUUUUUCUUAACUCCUCUUUUACUUCACAUAGCUUUUCACUCCUUUCCCUCAUAGCGGAAUAGUAGGUUUUAUUACCUACAAACCAAAAUACCCGCAUUAGCUCUCCCUGAAAGGAGAAGGAAGGCUGGAAUGCCAACAGGCGUCUAUUAUUGAAUUCACCCGACCCCUGACUCAUUGUACUAGUUACUGCUAUAGCUAGUGCUGUAUUGGUGUAUUGCUAGUGAACUUACAGAGCGAGCUGUAAAGGUAGAAAAAAACAGAUCAAUCAAGAGAUAGUGGUUCUAAGCAAGGACGGACGACUGAGGAUUGGCCGGGGAGAGUCGUCUCAAAUGCUGAUACCAUUUUAGAAAGAAGCCAAUAAAAAAAAGACAAGUAGAAGCCAGUGAAAGUGAAAGAGGAGUAAGCAGGGUACGACGAAGCCCUAGGCCUAAGGGGCAGUACGUAAACAAGUACAGAUCACAUGGUUUUUUACUGAUCCGCUUUCGAGCUGUCGAGUGACGAUUGGC
rnacentral:lncRNA from 1 species